GAGCGCAAACAUUCAACAAACAACAACAGGGUCCUGCAUGAUGACAUCAGCAGCACCGAGAGAAACUCCAUCUCCAUUGUGUUUCAGUUCCUCUGUCAUCAUCAUCAUCAGUGUGUGUGUCUGUGUGGCUCUGCUGCUGAUUGGAGGAUUUGCACUGAUCAUCUACAAACUGAGAUGCAAGAGAAUACAAGAUUAUACUCCUUCAUCCAAGAGGAGAGACAAUAAUCCAGUGAGUAACUGUUUCCAUGUGGGUGUGUGAGUGUGUGUGAGUGUUCUCGAGUAACUGUGUAGCAUUAUUUUCAUAAGUGCUUGUUUUUGG